AACGUAGGAGACAAACGUUAUCCGGAGUUACUGGGCGUAAAGGGCGCGUAGGCGGCAAUUCAAGUCAUCUGUGAAAUCUCCGGGCUUAACCCGGAACGGUCAGAUGAUACUGCUUUGCUAGAGUGCGGAAGGGGCAAUCGGAAUUCUUGGUGUAGCGGUGAAAUGCGUAGAUAUCAAGAGGAACACCUGAGGUGAAGACGGGUUGCUGGGCCGACACUGACGCUGAUAGCGCGAAAGCCAGGGGAGCAAACGGG
rnacentral:rRNA from 1 species